rnacentral:rRNA from 1 species
AUGCCUUAUUAGUUUAAUAAAAAGAGUAUAUUAGGUUUAACUUUCUAUAUUAUUUUUAUUAAAUUAAUAAUUCAAAACCUUUGAAUGUAAUUCUAGAUAAAAUAUUGAUAAUGACAAAGUUUUAUCUAUAUGUCUUGACCAAAUCUUGUGCCAGCAGUCGCGGCAACACAAGGAAGACAAGUGUUAUUCAUCUUAAAUCGGUUUAAAGGGUACCUAGACGGUAAAUUAGGCCUUAAUUGGUACGUUUUUACUAGAGUUAUACAUGCAUGAGGAAUAUGUGAGUAUUACCAGAGUAGAGAUGAAAUUUUUUGAUACUGUU